GAAGUCAAAUAAAGACUAGAAAAACAAAUGGCUAUCUUCUUGUUCAUGCCAAUGGUGGACUGAAUCAAAUGAGAACAGGAAUUUGUGAUAUGGUUGCUGUUGCAAAGAUUAUGAAUGCAACUCUUGUCUUACCUUCUCUCGAUCAUGACUCAUUUUGGACUGAUCCAAGCACUUUUAAAGACAUUUUUGACUGGAGACACUUUAUGGAAGGGUUAAAGGAUGAUGUCGAUAUAGUAGAGUAUUUGCCACCUAAAUAUGCAGCAAAGAAACCCCUUUUAAAGGCUCCUAUCUCCUGGUCUAAGGCUAGUUACUACAGAGGUGAGAUGGCCUCCUUGUUAAAAAAGCACAAGGUGAUAAAGUUUACCCACACUGAUUCUAGACUAGCUAACAAUGGCCUUGCAGCCUCCAUUCAGAGGCUAAGGUGCCGUGUCAAUUAUGAGGCUCUCCAGUACUCAAAGGAGAUUGGGGAUCUUGGCAAGAUAUUGGUUGAUAGACUAAGGAAUAAUGGCGAGCCUUAUAUUGCUCUGCAUUUAAGGUAUGAGAAAGACAUGCUUUCAUUCACUGGCUGUAAUCACAAUCUUACAUCAGAAGAGGCCGAGGAACUCAGUGAUAUGAGGUACAAAGUCCAACAUUGGAAGGAGAAGGAGAUAGAUAGCAAAGAAAGGCGACUGCAGGGUGGAUGUCCAAUGUCUCCCAGAGAAGCAGCCCUGUUUCUAAAGGGUAUGGGAUACCCUUCCUCUACAACUAUCUACAUAGUUGCAGGAAAAAUAUAUGGUAGCAAUAGCUUGGCAGCCUUCCGAGCAGAGUUCCCAAACGUUUUUACUCAUUCUACUCUAGCAACCACAGAAGAGUUAGAACCGUUCAAGCCAUAUCAGAAUCGCUUAGCUGCCUUGGAUUAUAUUGUGGCACUUGAAAGUGAUGUCUUUGUUUAUACAUAUGAUGGAAAU
rnacentral:misc_RNA from 1 species